rnacentral:tRNA from 1 species
GCCUUCGUGGUGUAAUGGUCAGCACGCUGAGUCGGUAUUUCAGAGGUCCGUGGUUCGAUUCCCGGCGAAGGCG